rnacentral:lncRNA from 1 species
ACAGUAUUACAAAGAUAAAAAGCUAUUAGGGAGAAUCCAAAAGAGGGUGUGAGGAUGCUGAAGGAUCUGGAAGGAAAACCUUAUGAGGAAUGGCUGAGGUAAUUUGGUUUGUUCAGCCUGGAGAAGGGAAGACUGAGGAGAGACCUCAUUGCAGUCUUCAACGUCCUCAUGAGGCAAAGUGGAGAGGAGAUACUAGUCUCUUCAAGGUUGUGAACGGUGACAAGACUCAAGGAAAUGGCAUGAAUCUGAGUCAAGGGAGGUUUAGCUCUGAUAUCAGGAAGAAGUGUUUCACCCAGAGGGUGGUUGGGCACUCCAACAGGCUGGGAAGUGGUCAAAGUACCAAGCCUGUCUGAGUUCCGGAAGCAUUUUGAUAAUGCUCUCAGCAGAUGAUGUGACUCUUGGGGUGACCUGUGUAAAGCAAGGAGUCAUACUUGGUGAUCAUAAUGGGUCCCUUCCAACUCAGCAUAUUCUAUAUUCUGUGGUUUUAUAUUCUAUGCUUUAUCAGUGUGAGGCAUAUACUGACCCAACUGUCUUCUGAAGACAAGAAUAAUGAGUCCUUGCAAGGUUAUUUUCUACAGUGAUAGUUUUUGAAAUUUUGACUGACCUUUUCAUUAAAAAUAAAUGAAAGGGGAUUUUUCUGGCAUGGAUUUCUUCAAUUGGACCAGACACAGAAGAAGGCCACUUAUCUCAAAGGAUGGGAGUGUGCCUGUAGAACAUGUAGGAAGACAAGAAGAAGAGCAUGGCUUGGAGUGGGAACUUGGGCAUUUGUCUAAAAAAAAGUUGGCUGGCACAACCCUUAGUGCCUGUCUACAUACUAGCUGCAAAAAGGACAUCAGCGGAAAAUGUGUAAUUGCUGCCAGAGCACAGCUUCCUAGACAACUUUUCUGCUUGAAAAACUUGAUCAGGAACACUUCAGGAAGUGCAGAAUGAAUCAUCUGUAAUUGCUGAAGGUUUGAAAAUAGCCUCAUCACAUCAAUAUAUCCUUUUUCCUGUUUGAAAAAGAGACAUGAAAAGAAGUGAGUUAUUUUGUACCCUUUCCUCUGUAGGUGUGGGGUAUUUUUAUCAAAACUUUCACACUGAUAAGAAAUAGGUACGCUAAUUAUUCCCUUCCAGAUAGUUGGAAUAUUUAAAAUUGUCAGCUGAACACAGUCAGAUAACAUGCUGGCUUUAACUGCAUUAUCAUUAUCGUUAAAGAUUUUGAAUGUCUGUAUAUUUUAUAUACAAGGCUCUGCUUUAUAUAUAGAUGUCUAUAAAACAUGAAUGCUCCUUCUUUUUGAUAUCAAAGUCAUAUAGUUUUGAAUAUGAAACAGUGAAAAAUCAGAAGUAAAUGAAUAGUCAAUAUGUGUUAUAAACAAAAUAGGAAAUAUAGCUCAUUACUAAUUUUGAGCCAUGUAACUCACACUAGUGAAUUCAGAACAAGGUUAAAUUUGUCUCUGUGUUUUGUUUUUGGAAAUGGGCUCAAAGCAGAGCUGGAUGUGAGACUUUGCAAUACAGAGCAGUUGACUGCUUCCACAUGGACUUGUUAAGGUAUGUCAUUAGUUACUUCGUUAUGUGCUGUGCAAAGAUCAAGAAUGAAUAAUUCAGAGGAUGAAAUCCACUCCUUGAUGUGGCUCCUGAAGGCGAUAUAUUCUCUUUCUUGCUCAGCCCCACACCUAGAAGAUCUACUGAGGAGGAAAGAUGAAGAUAAACAUCAUUGGAAUUGAAGAGAGAUAGAAGAGACUUCAGGGAAUAUGGUGUCAGCAAAGAAAAUAUUAAGGGUCAGGGAAUAUCUGUGUAAUAAUUUCAAAAUCCAUGUAAUACAAAAAAGUGAGGUUUUACUUCAAUUUGAAAUGAGACUGAUAAAGAACUUAGUUUAUUUUCUUGAGAACUGUUUUCUCUUCAUGUUCUCUUGAUCAAAACCCCUAUUGAAUGGGAAGUAAGUUCCUUUUAUUUUCAGUGAGGCCAGGACUUCCAUUUUAAUUGCCAAAUAUUAUAUAGUGCUAGUUCCCAGGUGAGAAGCUAGGGAUUUUCACUAGAUACCCACAAAUAAAAGAAGGAAGACUAUUCCA